rnacentral:rRNA from 1 species
GACGAACGCUGGCGGCGUGCUUAACACAUGCAAGUCGAACGGUAAGGCCCUUCGGGGUACACGAGUGGCGAACGGGUGAGUAACACGUGGGUGAUCUGCCCUGCACUUUGGGAUAAGCCUGGGAAACUGGGUCUAAUACCGGAUAGGACCACUGCCUGCAUGGGUGGUGGUGGAAAGCUUUUGCGGUGUGGGAUGGGCCCGCGGCCUAUCAGCUUGUUGGUGGGGUGAUGGCCUACCAAGGCGACGACGGGUAGCCGGCCUGAGAGGAUGACCGGCCACACUGGGACUUAGAUACGGCCCAGACUCCUACGGGAGGCAGCAGUGGGGAAUAUUGCACAAUGGGCGCAAGCCUGAUGCAGCGACGCCGCGUGAGGGAUGACGGCCUUCGGGUUGUAAACCUCUUUCAGCACCGACGAAGCGCAAGUGACGGUAGGUGCAGAAGAAGGACCGGCCAACUACGUGCCAGCAGCCGCCGUAA